rnacentral:lncRNA from 1 species
UAAUUAUCUUGCCUCAGUGUGUCUUAAAUUUGGAGCACGCUUGCGGGAGACCUACUUAAAAAUGAUUCUAUUCCUCUGAAAUUUAAAUGUAACCCAAUGUCCUGUGUUUUAUCCAGCCCCCAUGGCUAGCAGCUCCCCACAGGGUAAGGCAUCUGCAAAAAACAAAAGGAUAGGCAUCUCCCUGGACACGUGGGUUUGGGUGCCCAGGGUUCAACCAGGCGACACAGGCAGGGAGGCUGCAGUGCCCAGCGCAGGCGAGGCGGGGGCUGGGCGGGGCAGGGGCUGGGCGGGUACAGGCCCACACUGGCCUCUCGGGGCCUAGGCUCGGCUUCCAGACCCUGCAGAGUAGUCGAUGCCCUGGCCGAGCACACGUGUGCCCCAGGCCCAUGCACACAGCCCCCUUUCCCCAGCACACUCGGAGCCCCGUUGCGAGAGGAGGAGGGGGGCACGGCGCACACCUCCGUCGGCCCAAACGGAGAAGAAUUAUAAACAUUCGCAACAACGUAGACAAAACAGUCUAUUGUAUAGCCCUCACUCCUCUGGGUUUUGCUGAGAUUAAACGAGAUCGUUGAAUAC